GAAAGUUUAGCGAAACAGACUUCUAUGGGCACGGGUAAGUCUCGGGCAAGGAGCGAACAACCACUGUAGACACAGAUCUCCGUUAUUUAAUGUUAGUUAUUACAGACAGAUCUGGCAUUUCUCCAUCUGGAAAAUACUACUUACAACACAACUGCAAUUAUUUUAUUUUAUAUUUGUCCAAGAUAGCUAGCUGCAAAGCUAGCAAGCUAGUUAAUUUAAGAUAUCUCUAGAUCCAGUUCGCCAGCAGAGCAGCACUCGCCAAAAAGACAGCAAACCAAAAGCUGCCAACAUUGCAGUGGGUGCCGGAUAGACAAUGGUGGUCCUUCAUUCUCGAAUGUGAAGCCGACGGACCCUAGCAGGAAGGACCAGAGAAAAGUGUUUGCUUAAGGAGAGGAACGACAUGCAUGACCUUCUGGCUCUCCUCUCUACUGAGACCGAUCUGACCACAGCAGCGCAGGCCCAGCUCUAACAGACCGAUCUGGCCACAGCAGCGCAGGCCCAGCUCCAACAGACCGAUCUGGCCAGCAGCAGCGCAGGCCCAGCUCCAACAGACCGAUCUGGCCACAGCAGCGCAGGCCCAGCUCCAACAGACCGAUCUGGCCACAGCAGCGCAGGCCCAGCUCCAACAGACCGAUCUGGCCACAGCAGCGCAGGCCCAGCUCCAACAGACCGAUCUGGCCACAGCAGCGCAGGCCCAGCUCCAACAGACCGAUCUGACCACAGCAGCGCAGGCCCAGCUCCAACAGACCGGUCUGACCACAGCAGCGCAGGCCCAGCUCCAACAGACCGGUCUGACCACAGCAGCGCAGGCCCAGCUCCAACAGACCGGUCUGGCCACAGCAGCGCAGGCCCAGCUCCAACAGA